ACAACAUAUGUCAAAAACAUGCAUUAUCAUAAUCAACAUUCAUUACAAUAAUCUAGAACGUCAUGAAACAAGUUUCAAACAUGAACUAACAACUUUAAAAUAUAACAAAGUUUCAAAAUUCGACUUUCAACAAGUUCUUUAACAACUAUAGAUGACAUUUCUUCACUUUGUAUCCAAGCUAGUAUCCAUCAUAUAGCCUGCAAAAUUCAAGUCAAUAACAACAAUUAAUACAAUACCAUUAUCUUUUAAAUGAAAACAACUCCCAACAUAAAAGACAAAGAAACAUCAUUUCAUUCCACUUUAAUUAUCAUCCACCAUUAAUUAAACAUAUAAAAUACAUGAAAG
rnacentral:lncRNA from 1 species